rnacentral:rRNA from 1 species
GAGUUUGAUCGUGGCUCAGAGCGAACGCUGGCGGCGUGCCUAACACAUGCAAGUCGAACGUGAACGGGAGCAAUCCUUAGUAAAGUGGCGUACGGGUGAGUAACACGUAGGUAAUCUACCUUACUGUCUGGAAUAACCUGCCGAAAGGCGGGCUAAUACUGGAUAGAGCGACGGGAGUCGUAAUGACUCUUUCGGGAAAGGGAGCUCGAUAAGAGCCUUCGCAGUAAGAUGAGCCUGCGUCUGAUUAGUUAGUUGGUGGGGUAACGGCCUACCAAGACGAUGAUCAGUAGCUGGUCUGAGAGGAUGAUCAGCCACACUGGAACUGAAACACGGUCCAGACUCCUACGGGAGGCAGCAGUGGGGAAUCUUGCGCAAUGGACGAAAGUCUGACGCAGCCACGCCGCGUGAGUGAAGAAGGCCUUCGGGUU